UCGUCACACUAUCAUUAACUGAAUCCAUAGGUUAAUGAGGCGAACCGGGGGAACUGAAACAUCUAAGUACCCCGAGGAAAAGAAAUCAACCGAGAUUCCCCCAGUAGCGGCGAGCGAACGGGGAGGAGCCCAGAGCCUGAAUCAGCAUGUGUGUUAGUGGAAGCGUCUGGAAAGGCGCGCGAUACAGGGUGACAGCCCCGUACACAAAAGCGCAUGUGCUGUGAGCUCGAUGAGUAGGGCGGGACACGUGGUAUCCUGUCUGAAUAUGGGGGGACCAUCCUCCAAGGCUAAAUACUCCUGACUGACCGAUAGUGAACCAGUAC
rnacentral:rRNA from 1 species